rnacentral:lncRNA from 1 species
UGCUGCAGCCUAGCCUGUAGGCGCACAGGCUUGCUGCCACAUGCGCAGGAUCUUGGCGUACUAGGCGUCGCGCACACAGGCCCCAGGCGCAUAGGGCCUGUCCGCGCAUGCUUGUAGCGAACGACAUGCGCACAGUGUGCGACACCAGUUCGUGUGCAAAGUGAUGUAUGGACGUCCCGCUUGCAUGUGACAAGAUGUGCGCGCAGGUCUUGACCCCACGUCAUGCGCGCUGUGCGCAUGUCUUAUGCGUGCAUGCGAAGGGGAUGUGCACGCUGUGCGCACGUCCCGUGCGUGCUGGCGUAUGGGUGGGACAUCCACGCUAUGCGCACACCCUGCAACCACUAUGCGCGCAUGCGCGAGCACAUAGUGCCCAGCAUCUGUGCAGGCAAACUUGUUUUCCCGCGAGAUUUUUCUCUAAGAGCUGGUUUUCUCCCGUUUCACCAU